GUCCUUGCUUCGACUGAACAUAUACUAAAAUUGGAACGAUACAGAGAAGAUUAGCAU
rnacentral:snRNA from 1 species